GACGAACGCUGGCGGCGUGCCUACUACAUGCAAGUAGAACGCAGUUGCUAACGGGUGAUUAACGCGUAGGUAACUUCCUGGUAGCGGGGGAUAACUUUUGGAAACGAUAGCUGAUAACCCAUACUACCAGCUGGACCUGCGUUGUAUUAGCUAGUUGGUGGGGUAACGGCUUACCAAGGGGACGUUACAUAUCCGACCUGAGAGGGUGAUCGGCCACACUGGGACUGAGAAACGGCCCAGACUCCUACGGGAGGCAGCAGUAGGGAAUCUUCGGAAAUGGACGGAAGUCUGACCGAGCAACGCCGCGUGAGUGAAGAAGGUUUUCGGAUCGUAAAGCUCUGUUGUAAGAGAAGCGGUAUCUUACCAGAAAGGGACGGCUAACUACGUGCCAGCAGCCGCGGUAAUAC
rnacentral:rRNA from 1 species